UACGUAGGGUGCAAGCGUUGUCCGGAAUUAUUGGGCGUAAAGAGCUCGUAGGCGGUUUGUCGCGUCUGCUGUGAAAAUCCAGGGCUUAACCCUGGACCUGCAGUGGGUACGGGCAGACUGGAGUGCGGUAGGGGAGAUCGGAAUUCCUGGUGUAGCGGUGAAAUGCGCAGAUAUCAGGAGGAACACCAGUGGCGAAGGCGACUACCUGGCCUGUUCUUGACGCUGAGGCGCGAAAGCUAGGGGAGCAAACGGG
rnacentral:rRNA from 1 species